rnacentral:siRNA from 1 species
UCUUUUUCUAUGUGUUAUUCGCA